ensembl:snRNA U6 U6 spliceosomal RNA
GUUCUCACUUCAGCAGCACAUAUACUAAACUGGGAACGAUACAGAGAGGAUUAGCAUGGCCCCUGUACAAUGACGACAUGCAAAUUCGUGAAGCGGUCCAUAUUUAA